rnacentral:lncRNA from 1 species
GGGGAGGGAUAGGCCCCACCUGCCUGAAAAUCAGGGGGGCGGGGCAUGUUUAGUUGGUUAGGAAGUAGCGUGUAGAAGCCCGUGAAAUCUCGUACGUCUAGCAUUUUUGUAAUAGAUUCGAUCGUUUUUGCAAAAAAAAAAAAAGGAAGGGCCAGUUCACAACGGAGGACAAUUGCUGCGAAUUCAAUUCAAAUGCCACAGGAACCGUUGGCAGGAGCAAAAGAAAAGCGUUGCCGUUGCGAUCGAGCGACCCACGAACA